rnacentral:rRNA from 1 species
AUGGAGAGGGCUAUGAAGAGACAGUGCUCAUGGAAUUCUUACCUUAUGGAGGGCGACACUAAUACCCGCUACUUCCAUCUCCGCGCCAACGGCUGUCGUCGACAAAACAUCAUCCGACGCCUCUCCCAUCAUGGAGGGUGGGUGACCACACAUGAGGAUAAGGAGAGUGCCAUCGCCAAGCCUAACGUGUGCUUGCAUGCCCUCGACGACCCCUUCUCUCAACCUGAAGUCCGUGACGCCAUUGGGAAGCUACCAGGAGACAAGACCCCCAACCCCGAUGGUUUUACGGGGGCUUUCUUCAAGUCGGCUUGGCACAUCAUCAAGGCUGACUUCAUGGCCAUGGUGCAGGGAUUGUUCAAAGGAUUCUACUCUUCUUCGCACAAGGAUGCUACAGGAACUUGGACACUCGGAUUCAUCCAAAAUCCAUGGCCGCGGAUGCUCAUCGACGUACACAUAUUAUGUUCAACGAGGCAAUCCCAAUGCUUCGCUCCUUCAGCGCCCGCUCCUUCAGCGCUCUCCUUCGGCGCACACUCCCAUGAGUGCUCCCUAAUUACCACAAGUGGCACCGACAUUGGGAUCAGAGAACUUUCAUGGUGGGAUCAUGCAUUGUGGCUCCUCCAACAUUAUCUUCAUACAAAUUUGCCCCGUAAAUGCGCUCCUCGCCUGCGUGGCUCUCCUUGGACUCUCGACGAUUGA